AGCAGAAAUGAUUUUAGAUGGAGAAAAAAAAGUGACCGUCUUGUGGCGUGGGAGGAUCCCCCUCGAUGCCUCCUUCGGUUUUUUUUAACUUCAUAUCACGCGUUUAGAACGCGUUUGCUUCGCAUCGCAACAACCUUCGCGUCCGUUCGGCCUGCUUCGCAUUCGUUCCACUUAUUUCAAACUUCCAAAGUUCAUCGCCUUUCCGCGUAUGCAUCCCAGCU
rnacentral:lncRNA from 1 species